GAUGAACGCUAGCGGCAGGCCUAACACAUGCAAGUCGAGGGGUAGAGUUAGCUUGCUAACUUGAGACCGGCGCACGGGUGCGUAACGCGUAUGCAAUCUACCUUGUACAGGGGGAUAGCCCAGAGAAAUUUGGAUUAAUACCCCAUGGUGUUUAGAAGUGGCAUCACUUUUUUACUAAAGUUCCAACGGUACAAGAUGAGCAUGCGUCCCAUUAGCUAGUUGGUAUGGUAACGGCAUACCAAGGCUAUGAUGGGUAGGGGUCCUGAGAGGGAGAUCCCCCACCAUGGUACUGAGACACGGACCAGACUCCUACGGGAGGCAGCAGUGAGGAAUAUUGGUCAAUGGUCGCAAGACUGAACCAGCCAUGCCGCGUGCAGGAAGACGGUCCUAUGGAUUGUAAACUGCUUUUAUACAGGAAGAAACCCUCUCACGUGUGGGAGCUUGACGGUACUGUAUGAAUAAGCAUCGGCUAACUCCGUGCCAGCCGCCGCGGUAA
rnacentral:rRNA from 1 species